CUUCAUCGUCUUUCAUCACGGAUGUACUCUAUCAAAUCCAUGCUGCUCGGCACAUCGGAGACUCUCAGGUUUGUAGCCCACCCUUUCUCUCUAUAUAGCCUGGGCACAAGCGGCUAUUGAGGCUAGAAGAGUUUGUCCUGUUCUGAUCACCUGCUCAUCCUGUUCGUGCGCUAAAGCUACACUCCAGCUGUAGAGAAGUGAACCGUUUCUCUUGUUGGCAGAACUACCCCGGCACGCAGAGGGCCUCAGACAAUGCUCCCUCCAGGAGUGUUUGCGCAGCACAUUCGGUGAGCAGCACAUGACGUACAUCGGCGAAACGUCAGCUACGCAGUGUGAGCUGACAGUGUCUGUUCGGCUACGUGCACUACCAAAGCGGCGUGAGAACGAUCGGGCCGUGCUCUGGGCCUGUCCGAGCUGCGGUUUUCCCUGUCUGUGUGUGCGCGCGCGUUUUCUGCUUUGUGGCUGUGUGUGUGUGUGUGUGUGUGUGUGUGUGUAUGCCUGCACCGUUUAUGAUGAUAAAGUCCUCUCUACUACUGCUAGCGUCCGAUGCGUCGCUGACGAUCACCGUUUGAACUUCAUCUUUCGCUCCGAUCUGAGGGCGCACUUGCCUUGUCUGUGUGUGUGUGCGUGUGCCUAGGUGUGGCGCUGGCCGCUGCUGUAUGACGUCACCCCAACCGCUGCUCAUACGUCGUUGCCCAUCGUAUAGCGGUGAUAUUUGUGGACGGAGAUGGCGCGCGAGUGCAUGCUGGUGUGUGCGUGCGCGCUCUGCUGCGGGUAGCGCGCGGGUGCGUGAGUGUUGCUGCUCCGCCUCGCUGGUGCAUCUUUCGUGUGGUGGGGUCGCUCUCCGACGAGACGCGUCUCUGGUGAGCUCGAAACUCUUAUCGCACUGCUAGACUCGAAGCGUGUGCCAGUGGGGACUGCUGCUGUUGGCGCGUGCGCCUGGCUGCUAGGCCUGUGUAUCUGUCUUUCUCUCGCUCUCUUGUGUGUCCCGCCGUGUGCGCCGCGUGAUGCCAUGCAGGUAUGCUCCUUUGCCGUAGCGCUCCGGCGCUGUGCCGACAGACAUACCACACUCUAUCCCAAUGCUUAAUUCACUUCAGCUGAGGGCGCCACUCGGUGGCAAUGUCGGACAGUCUGUGUGUGUGUGUGUGUGUGUGUGCUGUGCGCACCAGGGAAUGGCGGCUGUGGUGGGCCUCGCACUUGUUGGCGGAGGACGGGUCUUCCCCGGAUGAAAGCGACGCAUCAAAGAUAACAUUUUCCCUUUGCUGCCUGUGGCGCGAACCGCAGCACUGCGGUCUUGCCGUAGGAGCCGCAGUACGCGCAGGGUGCGAGGCAAUGUGCCUCUCUGCACGAACGCAUCACUGCCAAGGAUCGCUCAUGUGCUCAGUGUACCUAUCUCUCUCUCCCUGGAAACACGCACACACACAAUUCAAAAAAUGUCUACGACGCGUUUUACGGGUUUUGUUGUUUGGUCACGCUCGUUAUACUUCUUGCUCGCCGGU
rnacentral:misc_RNA from 1 species